AACGAACGCUGGCGGCAGGCUUAACACAUGCAAGUCGAACGGGAUCCAGCCUUCGGGUUGGUGAGAGUGGCGGACGGGUGAGUAACGCGUGGGAACCUGCCCAUUGGUCUGGGAUAACUGCGGGAAACUGCAGCUAAUACCGGAUGUACCCGAGAGGGGAAAGAUUUAUCGCCGAUGGAGGGGCCCGCGUCAGAUUAGGUAGUUGGUGAGGUAACGGCUCACCAAGCCUACGAUCUGUAGCUGGUCUGAGAGGAUGAUCAGCCACACUGGGACUGAGAUACGGCCCAGACUCCUACGGGAGGCAGCAGUGGGGAAUAUGGGACAAUGGGGGCAACCCUGAUCCAGCAAUGCCGCGUGAGUGAUGAAGGCCUUAGGGUUGUAAAAGCUCUUUUUACCAGGGACGAUGAUGACGGUACCUGGAGAAUAAGCCCCGGCUAACUUCGUGCCAGCAGCCGCGGUAAU
rnacentral:rRNA from 1 species